ensembl:lncRNA
AUAGACUAUUGAAGUCAGUCUUUAGUCAGGUCUAUGUUUAGUAAUAGUAAUAGACUAUUGUUUGUUGGGGGUAAUUGCCUGGUUACUGCAACAUUCAGUCGUGUUUCACCAAGCUAUGAUCCUAACUACCUUCUCUGUCUUCCCUUCACUGACAUUGUUUCAAUACAUGGCAUCUGGUUGCCUGUUGAUGUCCAAAUGUCCGGAGCACAUCCCUGUAACGUCUGUGCCUCAUCUAUGAAACAUGUGAUCCAGUACUAAUCAACGGUUGUCACCUCAGUAAAUAGCCAAGCUGAUAAAUGGGUCAUUAGUAAGUGAGUCAACAGGCAGCACUGGGUUAUAUGACACAGCUGAAGCUGGCAGACAAGAAACAGGGUGAGAUUUGAAUCUGAAGCGAAACAUCCGUAUUUUGAAAAGUAGACCUUUCGACUAACAGUUCAGAUACAGCCUGAUGUUUGCCCAAGAACCUCCUGAUUAUCCUAGUCCAGCACACAGAGGAGGAUCCCAGGCAGUGAAUCCAUGUCAAGGGGAUCUAAACCACAUCUCGCAUAGCUUCCCAAAUUGCCAGCUCAGGUUGUCUCAUCCAAGAGAAAACUGGGUGAAAACGGUAGCGGGCGUCAAGGCAGAAAGUACCAAGGCGUACUGGUGUGGAGGAAGCUUUUAAAAUAGUGUGAUGUGGUCCGUUGGUGGCUUCUCCUGGAGGGUGUGAGGACAGUGGUCGACUCCAUUACCCUCAGGGCUUGUUAAUACUCCUGGGAUCUGGGAUGAUGCUGCAACACCAACCCGUGCUCAAGGUUUGCCCAAAUUACCAAGUAAUGUACUACAUUUGUUCCCUAACCUGUAAAGCAGUCUGUUAAACCCGGAGACAGACACAAUCCAUGCUUUGGUUUUCUCUGUUUGGCUGCUGCCAUAAAAGGCUUAUCCUCAACUGCUUGAAGUAACUUAGAUUAGGGACAACUAUUGUCCUAGAUGUAUCAUACUCAUGGGCAAUCGGUUGCCCGAGGAGAUGAACCAUUUUUCAUUACAUUUGUUCUGUUAUGUCUUUUAGGUUUUAUUCAAUUCAAUAGAUUUUGAGAAAGGAGGAUCUGUCAACAGAUAAUGACGUACUGUAAAAUAUCUUUGUAAGUGGGGCUGAGAUAAUGAUGUGGACGGUUGUUGAUUUAUACGGAUUAGCAUCACAUCCCACUUAUGAUCCUUUUAAAAACGUAAAGUCUGUGUGUUAGGUCCUUUGGGGGAUGGCUGUCCCAUUGAGACCAACAUCAUAACAUCUGGGUACGGUCUUCGGAGGGCGCUGACCCUGUGUGAACUAGAAGAUCUGAGGGAGUGGGCUGUUCGGCUUCCUCUUCUGCCUCUGCUAGAUACCUCUGUCUCUGUGGACAUUCCAGCAUGUCCGUCACUCCAGACACCAGAUUUUUAAUAUGUAAAACAGACCUGGGGCCUCCCUGAUCUCUGGGGUAGCUAGACAAGGCUUUGCAUCAGAACAGCAGGCAGCUAUCUAAGCUCUUUUAGAGGAAUUGUAAUCGCUGUUAGGAAAGUGUUUUGCAUAUUUUGUGGCAGUGAAGCCAUUUGAAUGCAAUAAGCUAGGAAUAGUACUGGCUUCUUUUUCUCUGUCUGUGUGAGGGGGUGAGUUAGUCUCUCUGUGUCAAUGUUUUUGUCAUUGUGUUUGUGUGAUCACGCUCAGAUAAUUGGCAGACCCCCAUUAGGUGGCGCGUGUGUGUGUGUCAUGUACUGGUACCAAGGCUUCUUUUCUGUGUUCCAGGGUUUUCUGCAUUUCACAGCGCAAUGUUGUUUUCUCCUGAAGCACCAGUUCAGACUGCACUCAAUUAAAUCUCAAUAGCCCCCCCCCCAAAACACACACUCACACACAUUCACCUGGAGGCCAAGCUGCUCUCAGCAGUACUCCUCCACAUCACCAGUGAAUUAUAAUAACCCAGCAACUGGGUGAUACUGGAUGACCAGCUGGUAGCCUAGCGCUAAAAAUGUGUAGGCCAGGAAGGGAAAGGUCAGUAGAUCUGAUCCUGGAGCCAGCAAGGUAAAUACACAAACUAUGUAGCAGCUGGCCACGCCCCUGGACAUCCUAUGUAGCAGAUGGCCACACCCCUGGGCACCCUAUGUAAUAGCUGGCCACACCCCUGGGCACCCUAUGUAAUAGCUGGCCACGCCCCUGGGCACCCUAUGUAGCAGAUGGCCACACCCCUGGGCACCCUAUGUAAUAGCUGGUCACACCUCUCCAAUUUGGUACAGAUGCAAUACGUCUCUAUUGUCAACAGUGUUGAGGCUUCAUUACACCAAAACAAUGCAUAGAGAAGAUUUUAGUAACCUUGAGUAUAACAACACAAAUCUUUAAAAUGAAAAGUAUACUAUUUUAAAUAUGGAUGUUUGUUGGUUCUUCAACCUUAAAUUAAUCCCAGGGGACAAGAGAAACUGUAAUCCAUGGUUUGUUUUUCUAAGCCAUUACAAACUUAAAUUACAGGUUCUAACAUGCAACUAGAAGUUGGAAAUUCUCAGUAUAGAGUAUCACCUCUUAUAUCUACACAGAGUAUCACCUCUUAUAUCUACACAGAGUAUCACCAUUUAUAACUACAGAGUAUCACCAUUUAUAACUACAGAGUAUCGCCACUUAUAUCUACACAGAGUAUCACCAUUUAUAACUACAGAGUAUUACCAUUUAUAUCUACACAGAGUAUCACCACUUAUAUCUACACAGAGUAUCACCAUUUAUAACUACAGAGUAUCACCACUUAUAUCUACACAGAGUAUCACCAUUUAUAUUUACACAGAGUAUCAUCACUGCUUAUGUUUGGCCAUAAUAACUGCCCACUUUAUCUGCAAGCAUAUGUGAGGUGCUAGUUAAAUAGUCACUGAAAGUUAAAUAGUAAAUAAAAGGAUUUCAUCACUCAAUGGAGGAUUUCAGUAACAGGAAUGAUAUGAACACCUAGUCUCACAAGGUCUUAUUCAAUUGUUGUAAUUCCUAAUCCUAGGAAGAAUCCAGUCAGUGUCCAUUUUGUUUCUAUUUACCGAACAGCCUCCAUACGUCAAAAUGUGGCCCACAUCGGCAACAACUCAGUGUGACAUCAAAUUCACUAGGGGUCACCUGACUUCUACCUAUGUAGCACAUAACUGGCAUCUGAACAACGUAUUUAGCAGGACGUGCCUUCACCAAACACACAUUGUUGGAGGAAGCCAUCAUUACACUGAACGGAAAGGCUGUCUGCAGAUUGUGAUCGCUCCAAACAACACGCUGCACGUUUUCUCUGUCUCCACAGGAAACUGUUGAAGAUGACUUCAACUGCCUCCCCUGUGACCAAAUUCACCACAGUGUCAUCCAAUGCCACCACCACCACCAAGUCCAGAGAACAAAUACUCACACAGAGUAAGUGUCCAAGUGUGUGUGUGCUACUGUACUUGAGGGAACCAGGACAAGUAUACUAAAGCAUGACAAAUCUGGGAAAUUGAGGACAGGUGGCUAGUUUUCAGUUCUAUAAAAAAAAUAUUUUUGGCUUGGGAUUAGAAUUAGGUUUAUGGUUAACGUUGGAAUGUGUGUGUGUGUGUAUGUGUUUGCAGUGUCUUGUUAGCAUCAUUUUAUUUGCAGUCCAAAUGAGUCAACAAACGUUUGGUAGGAGCUCCACAAUGUAAAUUAUCAUGCGACACAAUGACCCACCGUGUGGAAAUUCCAAUCAAUAGCCCCUAGUAGUCCCCCCGCUUUACAUACCCUGACACAUAACAUCCCAGCGUUUCAUAUCAACUAAUCAAGGCGGUGUGACACACUGGGAGGUUAUUUAUGACCCUGACCUUCCCAGGGAGUGUCGACGUCUUAGUGAAUUAUUUUAGUAAACGGCUCAUCUACAGUCACACCCAGCAGCACUAUCAUCAAUGCCAUAAACAGUGAGAGGAUCAUCCGGGUCCGGUGUGGCCAGUGGAGGCAUGUUUAUGACAGGGUGCUGGGUGGCCAUUCACUCUCAGGAAUGAUUAACACCUGCCCUUUUCAUUCCCAGGCUCAGGGGCUAUGAUUGCCCUCAUCGUCGUGGCGAUCAUUAUCGUUCUAACCAUCCUGCUCGUUAUCCUAAAGACGUACAACAGGCGCACUCAUGUGUCCAGAGUGUUAGGAACCGUCUCCAAAGUUCCACCACGUCCAAAAAUGGCUUCUUCCUCUACAAUCCAUACCAGCAUGCCCUUGGGAAACCUACAAGACGGCUCUGCAUCCAGAAGCUUUGCUCAUUCAAAUAUUGAGUCUGGAAAUGGAUUCCGGCUACCUCGAGCUGAACUAAACAGCCUGGAGGAAAACAACUUGGAGCAGCAGAGUACAGUCAGCGAUUCGACAGUGGUCACCAUACAUGAUCCACCGUCAAUAGGAAAUACAUAGCAGAUCUCUAGCAUGUUGGACACAUGGUGAAGUCUGCAUGCUAUGUUGGAAAACAAAUAUGAACAAAGUGCAUAGGGAAGCAAUGGACACUAAGAUGGACAUAAACAUAUGCAUUUUUGACUACAGUGUUCAGGACUUGAAAAGAAUGAUUCUCCCCUCAGUGCAUUUGGGGCAGUGCAACCAACUUGAACUUGUCCUUGCUAAUUCUACUGUUGUGUUUCUGUCAAAGGUAGAUGUUGACACAUUCUUUAAUGAAUUCAGUUUAUUCUUAUGCAAGGUUUUUUUUAACAACGUCGUGGUUAUGGUUUUCACCAUACAGGGAAAAAUCAUGACAGUGUUUCGGAGAAAUGUCGAUACUGAACCACUGUGGAACUCCGGAAAGCAGACAGUUAUGAAUUUAUAAGUCCUAAUUAGUUUUAUAUCAAAUGAUUUUGCACUUUACACUAUCCAGUUUGUUUUGUUGGGUUUCUGACAAAAUAAAUGUUGAUAGUUCUAAUAUUGUGUGCAUGUUUCUACUACUAGGCUUUAAUGCAAUAUCCAAAUAAAAAGACAAUUCUUAUUUAUCCCCAAAGUUGGAAUAUUUAAAGCUUUGGAAAUGUAAUUUGCCACCAGAAAAACCUUUUCUUCAUCACUACUGUGAAAUAUUCCUGGAUUCUGAUGUUUUUUUGUCAAGAAAAGUUACUCUUGAAGGGGCUGUAUCGAACCUUCAGUACUGACACAAAUUUAGUAAAUAGAACAGACAAUAAUGGAGCUUCUAUAAAGCCGGGAAACAGCAUCCCUGUUGAUGACAGGAUUGUAUACGUAAUUACAUGCACACAAUGUAACCUUGGGUCACUGUAGCAAGCAGGUCCUGGGCCCUUAACAGGCAAGCAGUCAAACAGAAACCAGAGUUCCAAAAAGUGUAUUACCUGGCUCAAUAAACAGAAAAGUACAAAACUACUGACAUUUGAUGCCUCAGUGGGUAGACGGUAACACCAGCUUUGUAACUCGGACCAGGUCCUACCCAGUCCGUUUGCUUAGCUACUCUCACACGCUACCGUCCAAACUCCAGGAGUCCACCAACACUGCAGCAUGAAGCACAGAGCAAUGUUUUCCCGUGACCAAAAUGGAGCGGCUAAAUCCCCUGACCCGUGCCACCCCCAUACUGUUCCAACCAAUACCAUAUGCCCCAAAUGGGUUCCAUCCACUUGGCUAGAGGACAGAUUUCUUCAGUUCCUGGCUGAGGUUCCUGUUUUAAACAUCAAGGUAAAUUCACAGCUGUAUGUGCACAUACAAGCGGUUUCAUGCUUUUUCAAUCCAUGUCUCCCAUUCUGGAAAAGGGUUGGUGACGCUUCCUCUGAUCUUCGACUUGCACACUUUCAUCCAACAAGUUCCACUGAUUGAGCCGAGACAUGAAAAGCUUGGCACUGGACUUGGUGAGACCGAGAUCUAGAAUCAAGUCGUUGAGUUCUUUUUGGUUGGGGUAGUGUGGGUGUUUCUCCUCAGCUCCACCUCUGAAAUUCUCAUCUGGAUCUACAACGUCUUCCUCACUCCCGGAAUUGCUGCUUUCUUCUAUAUAUGGCUGGUCUCUCUUGGGAGGGGUGGGUACGGGGGAGCUCAUGGCAGUGAGGCACCGGGGCGAGGGAUGAAGGAAGGUCCGGAGACAUGAUAGCAGGUGCGUUCUUGCCAGUCCGACGUUUGGAGGGGUCCACCACGCAGAAGUGGCAGUUGCUGGAGUGGUCAAUGGGUUCCCGCCAAGUUCUUGGGAUAGCAAACUUCCUAGCUCUCUUUUCCCCUCAAUACCAUCCUACAGAAAUACAUUUAUUUCACCCAUGACUAAUGUGUGAGAGAUUCUCACAAAAUGUUUGCAUAUUAUAUAUUUUUUCAAUAACACUGAAAAUUGUAAAACAUUUUUAAAUUAAACUGAUAAUUUAAAUGUUUUUACAAAUUUUGUAACAAAAUUGCAAGCAACAAUUGUCCCUACCACCUUCCAGAGUUUUUUUGCAGUGCUCGCAGGUGAAAUGAGGUGCCCAGGGUUUGUCUGGAUUCCCGACAGGCAUGCCAAAAUAUGCCUUGUAGGCCUCACACAUCCUAGCAGAUGCUUCCACCAAGUACUUUUUCGUUCUUGUCUUGAUAAAUUGGCCGCAGACAUAGCGAAAUGCGUCUGCCGGAUGCUUGCAGCCUCUUGAUGCCAUCUCAGAACAAGGAACCAGGCAAGGCUAGUUCAGCCGGCCCGCAAUAAAAAGAAUUGCCACCUCGAGAUUCGAAUUGGGGUCGCCCCACGUGAGACAUUCGCUAGAUCUCAGUAGAGCCUCUUGUCUCUAUCCUGAACAAAUCCUCUUUUGCCACUGGCUGUUUUAAUUGUUAUUUGG